rnacentral:rRNA from 1 species
AGAGUUUGAUCCUGGCUUAGGAUGAACGCUGGCGGCGUGCCUAACACAUGCAAGUCGAACGGAGCUUACUUGAAGGAGAUUCGGUCAACGGAAGGGUAAGCUUAGUGGCGGACGGGUGAGUAACGCGUGGAGAACCUGCCCUGUACAGGGGGAUAACAGUGAGAAAUCACUGCUAAUACCGCAUAAGCGCACAGUACCGCAUGGUACAGUGUGAAAAAACUCCGGUGGUACAGGAUGGCUCCGCGUUGGAUUAGCCAGUUGGCGGGGUAACGGCCCACCAAAGCGACGAUCCAUAGCCGGCCUGAGAGGGUGAACGGCCACAUUGGGACUGAGACACGGCCCAGACUCCUACGGGAGGCAGCAGUGGGGAAUAUUGCACAAUGGGGGAAACCCUGAUGCAGCCGACGCCGCGUGAAGGAAGAAGUAUCUCGGUAUGUAAACUUCUAUCAGCAGGGAAGAUGAUGACGGUACCUGACUAAGAAGCCCCGGCUAACUACGUGCCAGCAGCCGC